rnacentral:lncRNA from 1 species
ACCCAUCGUCAAUUCAUCAUCAACAAUAAUAACAAUCAAUAUCAUCCUCAACAUGAAUUUAAAUCAUUGUCAAUUCAUCAUCAAAAGCAACAAACAAUCUUUGGCACCAUCAAAUUCAACCUUAUCUCUCAUCUCUCAUCAAAUUCGAUCUCAUUUUUCUCUUGUUCUUGGUCUUGGAUGCUAGAUCUCAACCCUUGCUCGCUGCUCUCAUGGCUGCCGCCUCCUGGACUCGCUGGUGCCUCAACCGACACCUCAAAGAAACUACUAAUCCACUCUUGCCGCCGCUCGAUCUAAUCUCUCUCUUGUUCGUGGAUGCUGGAUCUCAAACCUUGCUCACUGCUUUCAUGGCCGCUGCCUCCUAGACUCGUCGGUGUCUCAACUGACACCUCAAAGAAACAGCUAAU